GAAGACACCAGAAAACGCAGCAUCAUAGAAAUCGAAAUCGCCGAAUCUGGGAGAAAAUAAUCUAACAGAAUAUGCCCCUAUGAGAACUAAUUUGAAGGAAAGAAGAGGGAAUGAUAGCCGCCAUAGCUCACAAGGAGUUCGUAAAAGUUGAGGACCACAUUAUUGACGGACUGGACCAAAUAGUGUGGAUGAGAGAGUUUGUCAGGUUGGGAUUGCUGAAAGCACGAAAGAAAUGAUUGAGUAUCCACUCCGGCAUCCACUUACAUGGUGACCACACCUGGCCAUAAGUCCUGCGAAGGUCAUGAUAAAUCGUACCACAAGCACGAUAGUCGUGAUCCGGAGGCAUCCACCAGUUCCUUCACUCCCUUUAGAUCACCGUAGAAGAGAAGAGAACUGAACGUACCAGAAAAGUAGCUGCAUGUUACUUCAGUCGGCAUUCAAUCAUAGCACCUCACAGAUGAGGAUUCGAGCAUUGGGAAGUACAACAUCAUUGUACAACUGCAUACAAUCAAAUAUUUUUGUGAGAUCAUAUUAUGUGUGUUACACAUGCAAUUUUGCCAUUGUUCGGAACAUGCCGAACGUCAGAUCCGAGAAUCUGGGAACGCACGCAGGAAAUUCUGUUGCAAAGUCUCUAACGUCAUAGCACCAUUUGCAUUUGAAAUGGAAGGUGAACCAAGUUCCGAACUGGUUCAACGUGCUGUGUUACAAAUCGCACGCUUUUGACCGCGAAACUUGAAAUCUCAUAUAAGAAGUCGAAGCUUGAACUAAAUAAAAGUUAAGUUUACAUAAA